UUAUCCCUUUUUUGGACGGCUGUCCAUAGUGUCAAUUAGGCUUUAGUUAAAAAUGACGCGGUGGAAAUUAUUAACCCAAUCAGUGACCCGUUACCUAGACCCAUUUUCUUCAUUAAUAUACAAACCCUCAACCCGGUUAUCAUAGAAAGAGGGUCAUGAUUCUCGAUUAUUCUGAGAGCUAAAUGGAUAGGCGAUUUUGGACGUGAAGUUCCACUACCGACUUGGCUGUAAACUUCUUCAAAGGUUACAGAUAUGGUUGAUGUAGACCUUUUAUUCCAUUAUGGAGGUGAUUGGAUUAGGGUGCCAGAAGUGGUAUAUUCAAGAAAAUUAGUACACAGCUGGAAACAAUAUGAUUCUGACCUUCUGUCUUUCAUAGAUAUAGUAGAUGAGUAUACUUCCAAGUUAGAUAUGUUGGUGUUCAACAACUAAUAGUAUAUUUUCUUUCUGGUAAAUAUUAUGAAGUAGAUGAGGAUGUGGGUAUUAGGACUUUACAGUCUUUUGUUUCUGAUCAAUUCAACAUCAUUAAUCUAUUUGCUGUUGAGGAUAGUGAAAUGGGAGUUAAUGUUCCUAAUAUUGUUGACCACACUGAAUCAUCCACAGUAGAUAAUCAGGGUGCUACUGAUUGUAGUUCAAAUGAAGGUGAAGAUGAUAGUUGCCAGUCAGAUUAUGAUUCUGAAGAUUUAGAGACACUUGCGCUACAAAAUAAGAGAAAGUGGUAAUAGGUUGACUGACUACAAGGAACUAUAUAAGGGAAUGUCAUUCAAGGAUAUACCCGAGGGUAGAAAAGUGAUAAAUCUUUAUUGCUUAGCCAAUUGCUAUGGUUCAACACAACUUAAAAUACUAAGAGGCUAAGGUAUAGAUGUGAGGUAGGCUUCCCCUUUGUUUGUCACAUUUCUAAGGAUAAAAAUGAUGCUGGAGUUAGUAUUAGAACUGAAGGCAAAGCAUAAGUGUAACCCUGCAUUUGAUAACCCAAGGGUUGAUUAUAAUACCAUACCACAAUUUUUGAAGACCAAAAUGCAAGACUUUCCCAAAUGAAGGUUAAGGAGAAAAAAGUAGCUCUAAAAACUACUUUCAACAUCAAUGUCAGUCAUUCAAAAUGUAAGAGAGCCAAGAGAAUGAUCCUGAAACGUCUUGAUGGUAGUUUUGUUGAUGAGUAUUAACAAAAUAGAGGCAUAUGCUAAUGAAUUGAGAAUAAGUAAUCCAGGAAGUGAUGUCAUAAUUAACACAUCCAAGGAUGCACUUGCUGAAGGUAAUAGGAGAUUUUCUUGGAUGUAUAUCUAUUUUCAUGCUCUAAAGGUGGGGUUUAAGAGUGGGCUAAGACCCUUUGUUGGCUUGGAUGGAACAUUCUUGAAAGGAAAAGUAAAAGGCCAACUCUUAGUUGUUGUUACUCUUGACUCACUGAAGUAUUUUUAUCCUAUAGCUUGGGCUAUUGUGGAAAAAAAAAGUUAUUUGGAACUGAUUACCUGGAAUUGGUUCUUGACCUUGCUGAAGCAUUCAUUAGACCUCAAGUUGGAAGAAGGAUUCACAUUUAUAUCAGACAUGCAGAAGGUACUAUAUUUUUUUUUUCCAAAAUAUUAAAUUUUUGUUGUUAAUUAUUACUUUCAGUUUUAAAUUUAUCUUAAAUGUUAUUUUUUAUCAACUAAUAUGUACGGCUUGGUUGAGGCAAUGCAAGAUGUCCUUCCUGAUGCACACCACAGAUACUGUGUGAGAUAAUGUGUGAGGCACGUAGAGGCUAAUUGGGGCAAAAGAUGGGGUGCUGGGGAGUUGAAGAAGUACCUUUGGUGGUGUUCAUAGAGCAGUUAUAAAGAAGAUUUUAAGGACCAAUUGAAGAACUUGGGGGAGUUGAAUAAAGAAGCUGUUGAAGACUUGUUGAGGUAUCCUCCCAAGUCAUGGUGUGGAGCAUACUUUGACACAGUAUACAAGAACCAACAAGUUGAUAAUAACUUAAUAGAGUCCUUUAAUUCUUGGAUAUUAGAUGCUAGGCACAAGCCUAUUAUAAAGAUGCUUGAAGACAUACGGGUUAAGGUGAUGAAUAUGUUGAGAGAACAUGAAAGUAAUGUGAUGACAUGGAAAUAGAGUUUAGUCCUCAAACUAUGAAGUUGUAUAACCAGUUCUUGAAGAUUGCACAAAAAUGUAGUGUUAACUUCAAUGGAUAAUUUAGUUAUGAGGUGGAUAAAGGACCUGAAAAGCACAGAGUGAUCCUGGAGUUGAAAAAGUUUACUUGCAGGACAUGGGACUCCACUCGAAUCCCAUGUCCUCAUGCUAUCAGGGAACUGCUAUAUAAGAAGUUAGAUCCUUUGAGUGAGAUUCAUUGGUGGUACACUAAGGAGGCUUUUCUCUUAACUUAUUCACAUAAGUUACAACCAAUGAGAGGAGAGAAGUUCUGGAAUAUAGAUCCAGCUCAUGCAAUGGAGCCACCAGUGAUGGUGAAUAUGGCUGGUAGGCGUAAGGUAAAGAGAACUAGAUAAAAGAAUGAGGCAACUAAUAGGCAAGGGGAUUGGUCUCAAUCUAGAAAAGGAAGGGUGAUGACUUGUUCUACAUGUGGACAGGCACAAUUCAAGGGUCUGUUAAAGAAAAACAGCCAAAGGGUGGUGGUAAGACAAAGAAGAGGCCAAGAUCAUUGAUUGAUGAAGACAGCGAUGGAAGCAUGACCAGAUCUACACCUUCUGCAAGGCUAACUAUUGAAGAAGAGCUGCACUUAACAACACCCCAACCCAGUCAAUUGAGUUAAGCAAGUCAAUCCAGUAGCAAUAUAGGACCCCAAUACAGGUUUAUGCCAACGCCAUCUGUGCCAAGGAAGCAAUCCAUCAACAGUGCAUCCACAUUUUCAGAUUUUGAUUAUCUAGAAUUUGACAAUCCAGACCCCCUCUAAUUCCAAGGAGUGUGUCAGAAGCAACAACUAGACUCCAAAUGAGGGAGCAAGUUUGGCACCAACUGGAAUAAGGACUAUCAACUUUGUUGGUGAUGCCAAUGGUGUGAGUGAGCCAACAUAACUUCCAUACUCACCAAAGAACCUCACAUGGAAAGAGAAAGCUUCUAUAACAGGAAACCAACUGGAGAGACAAAGAAUGACCAAGUUGAUGGCAUGAAAAAGAAAUGGCAAUUCACAAAUCUGAACAUGUGAAUGUCGUGAUAGUUUUGGUGUCUUAUGUAAUCUAAUUACUGCAUGUGACAGUAUUCUUAACUUAAUUUAGGAUCUUUAACUGUUACAGUGAAUGUCAUAUUAUUACCUAGGUGGUGACAGGUUUUGGAGUUAAAAUGUGACAUUUCUUUUGUCCAUGUAACUGCACUUUACAGUUUUUGGCAGUC